GACGAACGCUGGCGGCGUGCCUAACACAUGCAAGUCGAACGGAACUGUUUUGAAAGAUUUCUUCGGAAUGAAUUUGAUUUAGUUUAGUGGCGGACGGGUGAGUAACGCGUGAGUAACCUGCCUUCAAGAGGGGAAUAACAUUCUGAAAAGAAUGCUAAUACCGCAUGACAUAUCGGAACCACAUGGUUUUGAUAUCAAAGAUUUUAUCGCUUGAAGAUGGACUCGCGUCCGAUUAGUUAGUUGGUGAGGUAACGGCUCACCAAGACCGCGAUCGGUAGCCGGACUGGGAGGUUGAGCGGCCACAUUGGGACUGGGCCCCGGCCCAACCUCCUCCGGGAGGCAGCGGGGGGGGAUAUUGCGCAUUGGGGCCAACCCUGACGCAGCAACGCCGGGUAAAGGAUGAAGUUUUUCGGAUUGUAAAUUUUUUUUAUUAAGGACGAAAAAUGCCGGUACUAAAUGAAUAAGCCCCGGCUACCUACGU
rnacentral:rRNA from 1 species